GCAAUUAUAACAUCAAGUCAAAAGGAGAAAAUUAAACCCUUUUCCAAUCAUAUGAAAUGAAGUGACCUUUAUUGAACCUUAGGAAAAUCAUAAAUAAUGGUUCAAAUUUGCACAGUAAAACAAACAUAAAUCAGUUUUGGUGAGUCGUUCCAUGUUUAGCUGGUGGAGCUUGUGGACAGCCACAUUGAUGUGUAGCCAAGUUACAUAUGGGAUGUGCAUCUAUGCAUCUCACAGCCUUUGCACAAUCGGCAUCUUUAGUGCAUCCUGCCGCAUGACUUCCUUGUCCUAGCAAAAUUGACAUCGUUCACUAGUUCAGUGACAUACGUAGAAUUUUUCUUAGAUAUUAAUAUUUUAAAAAGUGAAUAAACGAAUGAAUUACUAUAAUAAGCGGUUCAUCUCUCUCUCUCUAUAUAUAUAUACUUAUUUCCUCUGUUCAAAUUUAUGUGGCAUACUUUGAAUUUUGAGAAUCAAAUUAUUUAAUUUUGAUCGUGAAUUCGGCCAUGGGAUCUUCAAAUUUUUUGAAAUAAAAUUUUUACAUUUGGAACCUAAGUAAAAGGUACUAUGAGUUACCAUGAUUGACAAUUCAAAAUAUUUAACAAGUAUAUAAAAAAUUACGGUCAAAAAUGAACUUGUUUGAAUGUUGAAGUCUAAAAUUUAUCACAUAAAUUAGGAUGGAGGGAGUGUAGUAAAAAUAUUUGAUGAAACAGUGUCCUGUGCCACCACUUGGGGCAAGGUAAUCCGCCAAGGAAUAAGUUUUAGUGGUAUAACUGAAAAUAAAUGAUAAGCGACAUACUAUAUAUGAUAUGUCAAAUUAUCCAUGAAUAACAUAAAAAUUAUUGCAUUAUCAAUGUAUAUAACAUAAGUCCUCAUUAUAAUAUAAAAAGGACACACAAAUUGCAACACUAUAGAUAUGAAAAUUGCUUACCAGACAAAAUAAGCAAAAGGGAGACCAAGAAAAUCUUAAGAAAUGUUGCCUUUUCCAUUCUCUUGAAAGUCUACAGUAUAUGUG
rnacentral:lncRNA from 1 species